GAAAUACCAUUGCUUUUUAUCUCAAAGGUUCAGCUGCUCAUAGUAUAUUGUUUAUUGAACAAGGUUUUCAUCAUCAUUGGGAAUUGUUGAACUAAAGCUGAAAUUGUGUCUACGCUAUUUGGAUAGGAAAUUUUAAAAAAUAUGCAAAUUCAAGUUCGCGUUCCUUACUUUAUUUGGGAUACUUUGUUUUGGAGAAGCGCUGGUACUCUGAACUUUGUACGGAAAAAGUGAUCAAAGAAAAAAUGGAAUUACAACCCUAGAACGAGAAAACUUUCAAUCGGAUGCUGUUGAUGGAGGAUAAACAGUUAACCGAGACAGAAGCAUCGAACACUGGGACAAUGAUUCACGUACAGUGGUAUGAUGUAAAUAUACAAUUGUAAGAAGGAUUCCCUUACCAAAAAGACCAAUGAUUAUACAAUUAUACACGUAGAAGAAGAUAAGACAGAGUACACGUUCGUGGAUUUCUCUCAGAAAGCGCCAUCUAUUCAGAAACCACAAAAUGAUGACUAGUAAAAAUCUGUUACAUUGUCUUCUAGUGAAGGUUUGUAAUCCAACAGACGGUUAUUAAUUAGAUUGUUUGAAAGUGCUUUUGUCAUUGUCCUAGUAACGUUCAGCAUUUUAGAUUUAUUUUUCAUACAAAGUGCUAUUUCAAUUAAACUUUUUGUACAUUCAUAUUCAUAAUAAAUGUUUUUUAAUGUCUAUUAAAUUUUUGAUUAUAAAAUAAAGUUGUCCAGCUACGAAUUUCUUUGUAUUGAAAAUAACGGAAUUUUUAAGAUUUAAGAUUGCAAUAUAUAUCUUACAUUUUGUAAGGAAUAUUUAUGUCAAUACCGUACAAAAUGUGCUAAAUGUUCUUUACGUUCAAUGUGCUAAAAGUAUCCGAACACUACUGCUAUACCUUAAUCAACUUUUUGUUUAAACAUAUUCAUUGUCAAAUAAUGAAUAUAUAAUGUAAAUCACUUAGUGCCUAUUAUUUAACUUAAAUCUGAAAAAAAGAUAUUUAUCUUCAUGAACUAUCAAGCUUCUUGAAAUAAAAAUUUCGGAUGCCGCAAUGCCACGAUAAUCAGUAAUAUUAUUUAGCCUAAAAAUAUCAAUGUAUUAUCAAUGAAUGAUAUGAUAAUUUACUAAUUAUUAACAUUAAAUUAACAUUUAACGUCAUACUUUUUUGGCAUCGUUUAAGUUGUUUAAAUUAUUUCUCAUUUGAAUAUCGUUUGAACAUUUUUUUUUACAACAUACAUGUAUAUUAUUCUCCUUUCCAACUUUGCUAGAUUUCAGUCAUUUGUGCCUUUUUUUAUAUUCUUGAAUGAUAAUUGUACGUGUACUGUGAGACUUUUUUAUUUAUCAUUUUGGAAUGUUAAUCUGUUUCUAGUUGUUGUGAGUGUUUAUUUACUGAUGCUUAUAUUGAUUCCUGUUUUGAAACAUUUUUAAAAUAGAAUAGGAUCUUUGUGUGGAGAUUGAAACGCUUCUUAUCCUAUUACAAACAGCUAUAAAAUAUAUGUGGAAUAUGUACUUGUAUACUGCGAAAAUGUUGAUGAGAUAUAAAUUUAAAUGUUAACAAUGAAUGAAUAGAUCUUACAUAUUUAAAAAUAAUUUUUGAGUGAUAUGUAUUUGAAGCUAUGGAGAAGGUCGACGAAUGCAUCAAAUAUACUUUUCAAGCAUAAGCUUAUAUAAAUGGUAAAUAGCCUUGAUUGAAUCAAUACAUGUGUAUAUAUGUUUAAAAUAGAAUGGGAUAGGAUAAGGGAUGAAAAUGUGAAAGUCAAUUUGCGAAUAUUAAAGAUAUAUAAAACUUGUUAAACAUAAGAGGUCCUGUGGGUAAGAGGUGUUUACGCGAAAUCGUAACGAAUGUGUAUGGACAGCUAGACAGGAAGAGGUACGGGCGGACACACUUAUCACUAAAUAUCACAAAAUAUACCCUGAUUUUCAAGUUACCAGAUAUGUUGAUGAUAGAAGGAUAUCAACAAUAUUAUUUUAUUUAAUCA